rnacentral:rRNA from 1 species
GGAUGCGAUCAUACCAGCACUAAAGCACCGGAUCCCAUCAGAACUCCGAAGUUAAGCGUGCUUGGGCGAGAGUAGUACUAGGAUGGGUAACCUCCUGGGAAGUCCUCGUGUUCCAUUCC